UAAUCUAUACAUAUAAUAAAAUCGUAGAAAAGUGCUGUCUGUACAUUGAAAAUAAAAAUAAAAAAAAUAGCAGGGGUUAUUGUUAUGUCGAUGUCGAACCCAAAAAUGUAAUUAACUUUUUUUUUGUCUGUUUGUCUGUUUGUCUGUUUGUCUGUUUGUCUGUUUGUCUGUUUGUCUGUUCGUCUGUGCGCGCUAAUCUCAGAAACGGCUGAUCCGAGUUGGAUGCGGUUUUCACGAAUAUAUUGUGGGAUGCUUAAAUUUACAUUUAGUGUUUGUUUCAUGUCAAUCGGUUCAUAAAUAAAAAAGUUAUGUCAAAUUAAAGAAUCACGUCGAACAUUCUAUGCUUAUACCAUUAAUCUCCGCAACUAUUUGACGGAUUUGGUUGAAAUUUGGUACAGAUAUAGUUUAGAACCUUAGAAAGGACAUAGAUAUAUUUUUAUUUCAAAAAUCAAAAAAUAAAAAUAAGAAAUAAAUUAUUUAUAAAUAAUUCUAUGUCGAUCGUUACACGACUUCGGUUCAUGUUAUUGUUUUAAUUUAUCGAAAAAAAGUAAAUAAAUAGUAAAAAGGUAUGAAAAAAAUAAUAUCAAUAUAAUAAAACAUUUAGUACAAAGAAAAUGCUCUAACGGAGUAUAGAUAAUUCUAUGUCGAUCGUUACACGACUUCGGUUCAUGUUAUUGUUUUAAUUCAUCGAAAAAAAGUAAAUAAAUAGUAAAAAGGUAUGAAAAAAAUAAUAUCAAUAUAAUUAAACUUUUAGUACAAAGAAAAUGCCCGAACGGAGUAUAAAUAAAUAAUCCAAGUUGUCUUUAUCCUCGAUAGACGGCGUUGGGAUCGAAAUAGAUCGCGCUAUGGUUUCGUUACAUUCAUUUGGUUGGGUAUCGGCCGAGCGCUUCGGUACUAUCGUAGAAAAAGUGUAUUAUCAGUCGUAUGAUUAUUUGUCUGUAGUGGUCCUGCUGUUUCGUAUAUUCUAAAUUGAUUUCGUUGUAUUUGUCAAUUAAUAAGUUUAUUUGUUGGGUUUUCCUGGUUUUCUGGUUAAACUAUUUAACGUAGGUUUAGUUUGAUAUCGAUUAUUAGUAGUUACUGUAGUUAGUUUUUUUAAUAAAAUUGUAAGUCUAAUUUAUAAAUUAAUUAGAUUAGAUUUAAGUCGUUUCUUUUAAAUUAUUUAGUUUAAGCUUGGUUAUUAUAGCAUAGAGGAUAGGUUGUAAUAUAGUUUCUUUUUUAAUUGUUAUAAAUUCGUAAUUCGUAGCUUUCUUUAGUUUUAAGUUAGUUUAAGUCCGUUUUUAAACUAUUUUUUCAAUGCCCUAAGUGAGUAUACAUCUAUUAAAUUCAAACGCAGAG